rnacentral:rRNA from 1 species
UGAGUGCGAGCUGCUACGGCAGCGAAGUUGGUGAUGUCAUGCUUCCAAGAAAAGCCCUAUACCCGUUAAGGCAUCAUGGCCUGUACCCGAAACCGACACAGGUGGGGUGGUAGAGAAUACCGAGGGGCGCGAGGUAACUCUCUCUAAGGAACUCGGCAAAAUGGCCCCGUAACUUCGGGAGAAGGGGUGCCACCGCAAGGUGGUCGCGGUGAAGAGGCCCAGGCGACUGUUUACCAAAAACACAGGUCUCCGCUAAGUCGCAAGACGAUGUAUGGGGGCUGACGCCUGCCCAGUGCCGGAAGGUUAAGGAAGCUGGUCAGCGCAAGCGAAGCUAGCGACUGAAGCCCCGGUGAACGGCGGCCGUAACAAUAACGGUCCUAAGGUAGCGAAAUUCCUUGUCGGGUAAGUUCCGACCCGCACGAAAGGCGUAACGAUCUGGGCGCUGUCUCGGAGAGAGGCUCGGCGAAAUAGAAUUGUCUGUGAAGAUGCGGACUACGUGCACCCGGACAGAAAGACCCUAUGAAGCUUUACUGUAGCUUGGUAUUGUGCCCGGGCUCGCAAUGCGCAGGAUAGGUGGGAGGCUUUGAUCAUCGGCUUGCGGGUCGAUGUGAGCCAACGGUGAGAUACCACUCUUUGCGAGCUAGGGUUCUAACGGCCACCCGUCAUCCGGGGGCCGGACAGUACCUGGUGGGCAGUUUGACUGGGGCGGUCGCCUCCUAAAAGGUAACGGAGGCGCGCAAAGGUUUGCUCAGGCUGGUUGGAAAUCAGCCGACGAGUGUAAAAGCAGAAGCAAGCUUGACUGUGAGACCAACAAGUCGAACAGGGAGGAAACUCGGCUUUAGUGAUCCGACGGUUCUGAGUGGAAGGGCCGUCGCUCAACGGAUAAAAGUUACUCUAAGGAUAACAGGCUGAUCUCCCCCAAGAGUUCACAUCGACGGGGAGGUUUGGCACCUCGAUGUCGGCUCAUCGCAACCUGGGGCUGAAGUCGGUCCCAAGGGUUGGGCUGUUCGCCCAUUAAAGCGGUACGCGAGCUGGGUUCAGAACGUCGUGAGACAGUUCGGUCCAUAUCCGGUGCACGCGCAGGAAUAUUGAGAGGAUUUCUCCCUAGUACGAGAGGACCGGGAGGAACGCACCUCUGGUGUACCAGUUAUCGUGCCAACGGUAAACGCUGGGUAGCCAUGUGCGAAGUGGAUAACCGCUGAAAGCAUCUAAGUGGGAAGCCCACCUCAAGAUGAGUAUUCCCAUGGCGUAAGCCAGUAAGGUCACGGGAAGAACACCCGUUGAUAGGCUCUAUGUGGAAGCGCAGUAAUGCGUGAAGCAGAGGAGUACUAAUAGACCGAGGGCUU